rnacentral:rRNA from 1 species
GACGAACGCUGGCGGCGUGCUUAACACAUGCAAGUCGAACGAAGAGCGAUGGAAGCUUGCUUCUAUCAAUCUUAGUGGCGAACGGGUGAGUAACGCGUAAUCAACCUGCCCUUCAGAGGGGGACAACAGUUGGAAACGACUGCUAAUGCCGCAUACGAUCUGACCUCGGCAUCGAGGAUAGAUGAAAGGUGGCCUCUAUUUAUAAGCUAUCACUGAAGGAGGGGAUUGCGUCUGAUUAGCUAGUUGGAGGGGUAACGGCCCACCAAGGCGAUGAUCAGUAGCCGGUCUGAGAGGAUGAACAGCCACAUUGGGACUGAGACACGGCCCAGACUCCUACGGGAGGCAGCAGUGGGGAAUCUUCCGCAAUGGACGAAAGUCUGACGGAGCAACGCCGCGUGAGUGAUGACGGCCUUCGGGUUGUAAAGCUCUGUUAAUCGGGACGAAAGGCCUUCUUGCGAAUAGUUAGAAGGAUUGACGGUACCGGAAUAGAAAGCCACGGCUAACUACGUG